UAGUUUACGGAUAAGUCGUUGAGGAUCUGUCAGUUCACGUGUUUGUCACAGCGUGUAGUCGGAAAUGGAAUCUCGCAGUUUCCGCCGUCAAUCUUCCUCCGGCGGAAUCUCCGAUUAUGUAUCUUCUCUGAUCUCCGGUUACAUGAGGGACAUUUCACCUUAUGUUGAAUGCCUAUCUUGUUCAAACCUCAGCAGUUACUAAGGAACAUGCAUUUGAAUUGAGGAAAAAGAACAAUUUGCAUGUUUUCUAUCUUCCAGAUCAAAGCUCGCCAUCUCCUUUUCACAAAAUAGCAUUAGGAAAAAGGUAUUGUCCAUAAAUCUCUCUCUGGAUUUGAUAGAUGCUCUUUCACCAGCGACCUAAAGUUUUCUUUACAGUGUUAUUGUCCUCACUCCUCAGAUCACUAAGGUAUUGUAGGAGAAAUUCUUUUUCAGGAAAAAAGGUAUUCUAGGAGAAACCUCCUUUAUCUCCACGUCUGUGUGGUAAUAUUGAUUAAAAUUAAGUCAUUUGAAUUGAAAGUAAUGUUGUCAGAUUGUGAUGAAACCAUGCAUGUGCAGUUUGGUUGCACCUCUGGCAAAUGACUACUUAUCAAUAAUCAUUGCACCUUCUUCUUAA